UGGCAGUCAGAGGCGAUGAAGGACGUGCUAAUCUGCGAUAAGCGUCGGUAAGGUGAUAUGAACCGUUAUAACCGGCGAUUUCCGAAUGGGGAAACCCAGUGUGUUUCGACACACUAUCAUUAACUGAAUCCAUAGGUUAAUGAGGCGAACCGGGGGAACUGAAACAUCUAAGUACCCCGAGGAAAAGAAAUCAACCGAGAUUCCCCCAGUAGCGGCGAGCGAACGGGGAGCAGCCCAGAGCCUGAAUCAGUGUGUGUGUUAGUGGAAGCGUCUGGAAAGGCGCGCGAUACAGGGUGACAGCCCCGUACACAAAAAUGCACAUGCUGUGAGCUCGAUGAGUAGGGCGGGACACGUGGUAUCCUGUCUGAAUAUGGGGGGACCAUCCUCCAAGGCUAAAUACUCCUGACUGACCGAUAGUGAACCAGUACCGUGAGGGAAAGGCGAAAAGAACCCCGGCGAGGGGAGUGAAAAAGAACCUGAAACCGUGUACGUACAAGCAGUGGGAGCACGCUUAGGCGUGUGACUGCGUACCUUUUGUAUAAUGGGUCAGCGACUUAUAUUCUGUAGCAAGGUUAACCGAAUAGGGGAGCCGAAGGGAAACCGAGUCUUAACUGGGCGUUAAGUUGCAGGGUAUAGACCCGAAACCCGGUGAUCUAGCCAUGGGCAGGUUGAAGGUUGGGUAACACUAACUGGAGGACCGAACCGACUAAUGUUGAAAAAUUAGCGGAUGACUUGUGGCUGGGGGUGAAAGGCCAAUCAAACCGGGAGAUAGCUGGUUCUCCCCGAAAGCUAUUUAGGUAGCGCCUCGUGAAUUCAUCUCCGGGGGUAGAGCACUGUUUCGGCAAGGGGGUCAUCCCGACUUACCAACCCGAUGCAAACUGCGAAUACCGGAGAAUGUUAUCACGGGAGACACACGGCGGGUGCUAACGUCCGUCGUGAAGAGGGAAACAACCCAGACCGCCAGCUAAGGUCCCAAAGUCAUGGUUAAGUGGGAAACGAUGUGGGAAGGCCCAGACAGCCAGGAUGUUGGCUUAGAAGCAGCCAUCAUUUAAAGAAAGCGUAAUAGCUCACUGGUCGAGUCGGCCUGCGCGGAAGAUGUAACGGGGCUAAACCAUGCACCGAAGCUGCGGCAGCGACGCUGAUGCGUUGUUGGGUAGGGGAGCGUUCUGUAAGCCUGUGAAGGUGUGCUGUGAGGCAUGCUGGAGGUAUCAGAAGUGCGAAUGCUGACAUAAGUAACGAUAAAGCGGGUGAAAAGCCCGCUCGCCGGAAGACCAAGGGUUCCUGUCCAACGUUAAUCGGGGCAGGGUGAGUCGACCCCUAAGGCGAGGCCGAAAGGCGUAGUCGAUGGGAAACAGGUUAAUAUUCCUGUACUUGGUGUUACUGCGAAGGGGGGACGGAGAAGGCUAUGUUGGCCGGGCGACGGUUGUCCCGGUUUAAGCGUGUAGGCUGGUUUUCCAGGCAAAUCCGGAAAAUCAAGGCUGAGGCGUGAUGACGAGGCACUACGGUGCUGAAGCAACAAAUGCCCUGCUUCCAGGAAAAGCCUCUAAGCAUCAGGUAACAUCAAAUCGUACCCCAAACCGACACAGGUGGUCAGGUAGAGAAUACCAAGGCGCUUGAGAGAACUCGGGUGAAGGAACUAGGCAAAAUGGUGCCGUAACUUCGGGAGAAGGCACGCUGAUAUGUAGGUGAAGUCCCUCGCGGAUGGAGCUGAAAUCAGUCGAAGAUACCAGCUGGCUGCAACUGUUUAUUAAAAACACAGCACUGUGCAAACACGAAAGUGGACGUAUACGGUGUGACGCCUGCCCGGUGCCGGAAGGUUAAUUGAUGGGGUUAGCGCAAGCGAAGCUCUUGAUCGAAGCCCCGGUAAACGGCGGCCGUAACUAUAACGGUCCUAAGGUAGCGAAAUUCCUUGUCGGGUAAGUUCCGACCUGCACGAAUGGCGUAAUGAUGGCCAGGCUGUCUCCACCCGAGACUCAGUGAAAUUGAACUCGCUGUGAAGAUGCAGUGUACCCGCGGCAAGACGGAAAGACCCCGUGAACCUUUACUAUAGCUUGACACUGAACAUUGAGCCUUGAUGUGUAGGAUAGGUGGGAGGCUUUGAAGUGUGGACGCCAGUCUGCAUGGAGCCGACCUUGAAAUACCACCCUUUAAUGUUUGAUGUUCUAACGU
rnacentral:rRNA from 1 species